AUCACGAGGUCAGGAGAUCGAGACCAUCCUGGCUAACACGGACCAAGAAAUCUGGGAAGCCUGAGGACCAAGAAACCUGGGAACUCUGAGUACAAUGCGUGACUGUCUUAAAGGAGCUGAUGAGCUUACAGUCAUUUGACAGCCGCAGGCGCCCAACUGACUCCCAACCUCUUGCACAAAAAGAUAACACUUCGGGAUGCUAAAGUGGAUUCCUUUUCCCAGGUACCAAACUGUGAAGCUGCUUCAAAGCUGUGUCUUUGCUGGUGGGGUUGUCUCUGCUUGGAACGUCACUUCCACUGCCACUCAUUCAACCCAGCAAACCCCCUCCAAAGAUAAGUUCAAGUGCUGCCACUUCUCUGUAGUUUUUCAUGACCCUCCAAGGCAGAAUUAAUUGUUCCUUUCUCCUUGUCCCUGUGUCCACAUACACACAAAAGAAAUUUUAAAUUUGUGCUUCAAUCUUUUCAACUAAAUAAUGAGAUAUGGAA